rnacentral:rRNA from 1 species
AUUGAACGCUGGCGGCAGGCCUAACACAUGCAAGUCGAGCGGAGCGGCGGACGGGUGAGUAAUGCCUAGGAAUCUGCCUGGUAGUGGGGGAUAACGUCCGGAAACGGACGCUAAUACCGCAUACUAUCAGAUGAGCCUAGGUCGGAUUAGCUAGUUGGUGGGGUAAUGGCUAACCAAGGCGACGAUCCGUAACUGGUCUGAGAGGAUGAUCAGCCACACUGGAACUGAGACACGGUCCAGACUCCUACGGGAGGCAGCAGUGGGGAAUAUUGGACAAUGGGCGAAAGCCUGAUGCAGCCAUGCCGCGUGUAUGAAGAAGGCCUUCGGGUUGUAAAGUACUUUAAGUUGGGAGGCGUUACAGCAGAAGAAGCACCGGCUAACUCCGUGCCAGCAGCCGCGGUAAUUC